AUACGUAGGGGGCAAGCGUUAUCCGGAUUUACUGGGUGUAAAGGGCGUGUAGGCGGAGAUGCAAGUCAGGAGUGAAAUCUAGGGGCUCAACCCCUAAACUGCUUUUGAAACUGUAUCACUUGAGUAUCGGAGAGGCAGGCGGGAUUCCUAGUGUAGCGGGGAAAUGCGUAGAUAUUAGGAGGAACACCAGUGGCGAAGGCGGCCUGCUGGACGACAACUGACGCUGAGGCGCGAAAGCGUGGGGAGCAAACAGGAUUAGAUACCCUGGUAGUCCACGCUGUAAACGAUGAAUACUAGGUGUGGGGGGACUGACCCCCUCCGUGCCGCAGUUAACACAAUAAGUAUUCCACCUGGGGAGUACGAUCGCAAGAUUGAAACUCAAAGGAAUUGACGGGG
rnacentral:rRNA from 1 species